UUACGGCCAUACAGCAUUGAAAAACCUGUUCACGUACGAUCAGCAAAGUUAAGCAAUAUCGAGACUGGUCAGUACCAAGAUGGGUGACUGCUUGAGAAUACCAGGUAU